UUUUCUACGCCACAGCCAUUCGAGAUGGGCUCCGCCGGCGGAAGGGGCCGCUGCUUCCGUCGCGGGAGGGGCCGCUGCUGUGGCCGCACCGUCGUCUCCGCUUCUGGGAACCAUGCCGGAGGAAGCCUCGCGACGGGCUCGGGCCUGGCCAGCGCCGGGUGCAGGCUGCACUCUGCCAGGCGGAGGGAGAGCCUGCUCCGUCUCCGCCACGGCUGGCCGCACCUGGAGGAGUGGGGUCAGCGGAUAGCGCCGCACCCCAGGGCAGAGGUUCACCACGUCGUCGAGUAGGAGCCGCGGGAGCGAACUGCGCCGAAGGCGCCGCUGCAAUCUCCACCGCAAGUCGUGAUGGGGAGGGCGCAUCACAUUUGACAGAGUGCGGGAACGCCGCGUGUCUCCGUCGUAGUGGCCGGCGAGUACGCCGAGGCUGGGUUCUCCACCGCGCCUGCUACUGCAUGCGUCCUCGACGAGCAAGUUGCUUCUGCAUUGAUGGCGAGACGGUUAGCGGCACCGGCCGCUAGUUACAACGUAAUGGAGAUUAGGAAAUUAUACAAGAUCAUGACGCCCACGCGCGCAACCGGGCGGCCGGGCGCGGAGGGCGCGCGUCCGGUGGCGCGGACGGGCGCGGCGCGACAGGGUGGCGGCCGAGCGGACGGGCGCGACCGAGGCGCGGGGCGGCCGGCGCGAUCAGACGGCGAUGGCGCGAGGCGCGGUGUGGCCGGGCGGAGCCGACCACGGCCUGGCUCGGGCGGGCGCGGUCGCGGAGGCUGGGGAGCGGUGCCGACGCGGCUAGGGACGGCCACGGCGCUGGCGGGCGUUGCCACGGUGGGAUCUACAGGCUCAUACCUUAUCUGUUCUUGAUUCUCCAAUGCUC